rnacentral:rRNA from 1 species
AUGGCUCAGGAUGAACGCUAGCUACAGGCUUAACACAUGCAAGUCGAGGGGCAGCAUUGGAGUAGCAAUACUCAGAUGGCGACCGGCGCACGGGUGAGUAACACGUAUCCAACCUGCCGCUUACUCGGGGAUAGCCUUUCGAAAGAAAGAUUAAUACCCGAUGGUAUAAAGAGUUCGCAUGUUCUCUUUAUUAAAGAAUUUCGGUAAGCGAUGGGGAUGCGUUCCAUUAGAUAGUUGGCGGGGUAACGGCCCACCAAGUCUACGAUGGAUAGGGGUUCUGAGAGGAAGGUCCCCCACAUUGGAACUGAGACACGGUCCAAACUCCUACGGGAGGCAGCAGUGAGGAAUAUUGGUCAAUGGACGAGAGUCUGAACCAGCCAAGUAGCGUGAAGGAUGACUGCCCUAUGGGUUGUAAACUUCUUUUAUAAGGGAAUAAAGUGAGGGACGUGUCCCUUUUUGUAUGUACCUUAUGAAUAAGGAUCGGCUAACUCCGUGCCAGCAGCCGC